UAACGCGUGGGAAUCUGCGCUGGAGUGGGGGAUAACCCGGCGAAAGCCGGGCUAAUACCGGAUACGCCCUUCGGGGGAAAGAUUUAUCGCUGAUAGAUGAGCCCGCGUACGAUUAGCUAGUUGGUGAGGUAAUGGCCUACCAAGGCUACGAUCGUUAGCUGGUCUGAGAGGAUGAUCGGCCACACUGGGACUGGGACACGGCCCAGACUCCUACGGGAGGCAGCAGUGGGGAAUAUUGGACAAUGGGCGAAAGCCUGGUCCAGCAAUGCCGCGUGAGUGAGGAAGGCCUUAGGGUUGU
rnacentral:rRNA from 1 species